UCCGGCUUAACGCCGGCAGUCCCCCCAGAGUCCCCGGCCGAACCGCUGGCAACUGGGAGCGAGAGUUGCGCUCGUUGCGGGACUUAACCCAACAUCUCACGACACGAGCUGACGACAGCCAUGCAGCACCUGUGCUGGCGCUCCGAAGAGGGGCCGAUGUUUCCACCGGCUUUCACCAGCAUGUCAAGCCCAGGUAAGGUGGGGAUGACGUCUCCUCAUGCGUU
rnacentral:misc_RNA from 1 species